GACGUAGGGCGCAAGCGUUGUCCGGAUUUAUUGGGCGUAAAGGGCGCGUAGGCGGCCACGCACGUCCGUUGUGAAAUCGCCCGGCUCAACUGGGCGGGGUCAGCGGAUACGGUGUGGCUCGAGCAAGCUAGGGGGCAAUGGAAUUCCCGGUGUAGUGGUGGAAUGCGUAGAUAUCGGGAGGAACACCAGUGGCGAAGGCGGUUGCCUGGAGCUUUGCUGACGCUGAGGCGCGAAAGCGUGGGGAGCGAUCCGG
rnacentral:rRNA from 1 species